ensembl:lncRNA
UGUGACUGUACUACAACCUCUACCUAGAGGUGUGGGGCUGUAAAGGAGUAGUGAAUGUGUGACUGUACUACAACCUCUGCCUAGAGGUGUGGAGCUGUAAAGGAGUGGUGAAUGUGUGACUGUACUACAACCUCUACCUAGAGGUGUGGGGCUGUAAAGGAGUAGUGAAUGUGUGACUGUACUACAACCUCUGCCUAGAGGUGUGGAGCUAAUAGCUAGAAUCCAUAGUUGCUACAUCCUUCUUUUUUUUUACUAAUAAAUUAAUGAUAUAUACCCAUUGAUUCUUGAAGAAUACAAUUGGUAAAUGCCUCAUGAGAUUAGUUUAACUGUCUACCCCAUCUGAACCCGAAAUAUAAACUUGUUUUACUCCAAUGUUUGUAAACAAUUUAAGAAUAAACUAACACUGUAUAGCCUCAUAACAAUAAGUUAUAUCAUGGAUGGUCAGUCCUUGCAUCUACAGCUCUGUCUCUGAAUUGGAGAAUGGUUACAUGACUCC